rnacentral:tRNA from 1 species
ACCUGGUUGGCUUAGUUGGAAGAGCGUAUGACUCUUGAUCUCAGGGUCGUGAGUUCGAGCCCCAUGUUGGGUA